GACGAACGCUGGCGGCGUGCUUAACACAUGCAAGUCGAGCGGUAAGGCCCUUCGGGUACGACGAGCGGCGAACGGGUGGAGUAACGCGUGGGUGACCUGCCUCUAGCUCUGGGAUAAGCCUGGGAAACUGGGUCUAAUACCGGAUAUGACUCCACGGCGCAUGUUGUGGGGUGGAAAGCCUUGUGUGGCUAGAGAUGGGCCCGCGGCCUAUCAGCUUGUUGGUGGGGUGAUGGCCUACCAAGGCGACGACGGGUAGCCGGCCUGAGAGGGCG
rnacentral:rRNA from 1 species